rnacentral:rRNA from 1 species
GUCUAAGGCCAUGCUACCCUGAACAAGCCCUAUCCUGUCUGGUCUCGGAAGCUAAGCAGGUGGGCCUGGUUAGUACUUAGAUGGGAGACCACCUAGGAAGACCAGGCGCUGUAAGCG